CUCUUUUUUCUAGAAACAUGGUUCUCCAUAAAUGCUUAUCUUUAUAAAGGACACUAGCACAUGCAAGAUAAGUACAAAGGAGAAAAAGUUCAGGCUGUGGUGUUUGUCGAUGAGAGAUGUCUGUAUCUGCAUGCAGCACCAGCAGACCGCUCCUCAGAGGGUGGAGGGAGAGGUAGUGGUUUCCACUCAGCAGAAAGGCCUCUGGCCACCAUGCCAGCACAAUCUCUUCAGCACUAGGGACCCCCAUUGCUCUCUACAUCUCUUCCUCUCUUUGCCUCUUGCCUCUCCCCCAACCCACAUUUAUUUCUGUCAGCUUCCAUAUUCUUGUCUUCACAGCACGUUUGCCAACACUCAGAAGACGUUUCUAGUUCGUCUAGACGAGGCCCUGCUGUCGACUGUGGGGACCCCUGGGACGAUCAGCAUGCCUGUUUAGGCCCUGGUGUGACACCGCAUGUCCUAUAAGAUACACCAACACAGGCACCCGGCUCUUCCCCUGCAGUCCUACGGCCUCCAUAUGCACACAUCACUACAAUGAGCGUCCUUUGGUGAAGACCCCAGCAUUCCCAAUUUCAGAGAUAUUAUCUGAAAAGAUAGUUGCCAGUGGAUAACAGCAAAAGGUCAGAGAAAGAUUCACUGAUCAUGACAAUGAUAAAUUCAAUACCCAGUAGCAUUUAUGGAUUGAAAUUUGACUGUCUCAUUGAAACACGUAGACAUAUUUAAAGAUAAAUAAAUGGUUAAGUAUUCAGAUUUUCUGCAAGAACAACAGUAAAAAAAAACAGGAGUGUGUAGAUAAGUGUUAUAGAGACAGAGCUAAUUCAGUCAUAUCCAUUUACAAAAUCACUUACACAAAGAAUCCUGUGUUUUACUAAACAGUUCCGUUUUGGAUUUACAACUACAGAUUUUUUUCCCUUUACUUUAUAAAAGAAAAACUGGAUUUAGAUUAAGCAACUGAUCAAGGCAAAACCUUAUUUUGAAGUCAGUUUUGAUAAAGUUUUGAUUAUUCAGAUUUGAUUUGAUAAAGUCAAUGAGCAACACUAUCAAGUCUACAUUACUUUAAUUUUUUCUAUUGUUGUGGAUGGAACAUUCAUUUAGUUUGUAUUUGUAUUGUGAUGAUGCAUCCUCACUCGUUGUAACCAGUAACCUCUUCACCUGUCUUCUUAUAAAAAAAGUCAAAAAAGGACUUCAUAAGAUAUUAAAUUUUGAUUUGCUGCCUUAUACAUUGUGCAUGUGGAAUAGAGGGAUACAUAUGCUAGAACUGUAUUUUCCCAACCAAUACUAUUCUAUAAGACACCUGACCAAUGAUACAGCGGGGAAAAUAAGUAUUGAACAAGUCAGCAUUUUUCUCAAAAAACACAUUUCUAAUCGAGCUAUUAACACGAAAUUUUCACCAGAUGUCGGCAACAACCCAAGUAAUGCACACAUAGAAAGAAAUCCAAACAUUUAUGUCCAUAAAUGAAGUUAUGUGUAAUAAAGCGAAAUGGCACAGGGAAUAAGUAUUGAACACAUGAAGAAAAGGACGGGUAAAAAGGUCUGGCAAGCCAAGAAAGCAGCUGGAGUUUGUCAGUAUUCAGAAGGUUAACCUGCCCCCUAUUAGUGCAAAGUAAUAUCAGCUGGUAUAGUCCUGAUUGAUGCCUUUUAAAAAGGUUUCUCACCAGCAAGG
ensembl:lncRNA